rnacentral:rRNA from 1 species
ACUUGCCCCGAGAUGAGUUCUCCCUGAGACUUAGAGUCUCCUGAAGGAACGUUGAAGACGACGACGUUGAUAGGACGGGUGUGUAAGCGCAGCGAUGCGUUGAGCUAACCGGUACUAAUGAACCGUGAGGCUUAACCUUACAACGCCGAAGAUGUUUUG